rnacentral:lncRNA from 10 species
GAGUCAGAGAAAGUGGUAAUGGAAUUCAGAACAACGGUGAGCUUUAAGAAAGAGAGCAUGCUUCAGAGAGACCAAGAAUGACAGCUAUGGAUAAAGAGUUACAAGGGCUUAAGGCAUGGCAAGCAAGUUAAUAAAUGGCUCUAAGAGCCUUCUGGGGACAUGAGCGCUUAGAAGAAAAAGUGCUGAUGCGUUUCCUGCUCUUCACCUCUCCUCCCUAGGCCCGCACCUCCAGAAGUGUUUCCACCUGCAUUAGGCCAGCGCGAUGUUCGCUCAUGAACCAAAGCUAUGGAAUAAAACCAGUGAGCCAAAGGCAGAUACAGAUGAACACUUGUGGAGUUGUCCCUCUUCUGGCUGUGAAAAAUAGAUAUUUAUUUUUGGCUGCUAGCUCUAUUUACUCAGUCUAGCAAACUGCAGAGAAGCUCCAAAUGCAGAACUUAUAGGGAGUGGAGUGUUUUUUUGGCUUCUUCUUGCCAAGGUAUUUUGGCUCUUGACAGGGGUCGUCUGUGUGAGAAAUCUCCCUCCUCAGGCUUCUUUCCUAGGGUGGUGAGAAGAUGGGAAGACUGUGGCUAUUGACAAACGGUGCUGUACAUCCUGCCCUUCUCAGUAAAUGACUGUUAAUGAAUUUAAGUGUUUGGCAGGUAGAAAGCUCUUGCCAGUGAUCAAAACAUGCUGUGUAUACAGCUGUGUGCCUUUCUGAGGGCAGGAAAAUUGGACUCUGAUGCACAGAGGUUUGUGGAUUCCUCCAUGUGUUUUGAAACCUAUAUUUGAGAAGUAAGUAUACCGAGCUGUUGCUUGGGAGAAGUAAACACAGCAAGCUGGAGAUAGAGAAGUCACAGCCAUAGAAACAGAAAACCUAAUUAGGAGCAGAGUAGGAAAGCUGGACUUGCAAGAAAACUUAGACAUCUCUCCCCUUCCUCUAAGCCAGUGUUCUUGUUCUAUAAAUAGCUAAGAAAGCUAGGUAGAAUUAGACUGGAAUGGGCUGAGAAGUAAACUAGGGCUGGGCGUGGUGGCUUACACCUGUAAUCCCAGCACUUUGGGAGGCUGAGGCAGGUGGAUCACUUGAGGCCAUGAGUUCGAAACCAACCUGGCCAACAUGGUGAAACAUAGUCUCUACUAAAAAUACAAAAAUUAGCCGGGUGUGGUGGCAGGCACCUGUAAUCCCAGCUUACUGGGGAGGCUGAGGCAGGAGAAUCACUUGAACCUCGGUGACAGAAGUUGCAGUGAGCAGAGAUUGCACCACUGCACUCCAGCCUGGGUGACAGAGCAAGACUCCAUCUCAAAAAAAAAAAAAAAAAAAAAGAGGAAGUAAACUGGAUUAGAGGAAGAGGUGUCAUGUGCUCCAAAGGAAGGAAAACUGAUUACAGGUAUGUGAGGAGAGCAAUCUCCCGAGCAACUAUGAUCUGAGGGUCAAACCCUCAAGACCCUAUUUCUCGCCCUGAUUUGCCUGACUUAUUGGGCAGAAUCCCAUCUGACUUGUCUAUUUCUAGGUUGAGUUCUCCCAUUUCUUCCUAGUUAGGUGGUAUUUACAAGCCUCUUCUAAAAAACUUCCAGCCAGGCAUGGUGGCUCGCAUUUGUAAUCCCAGCACUUUAAGAGGCCAAGGCAGGAAGACUGCUUGAGGCCAGAAGUUCAAGUUCAGCCUAGGCAACUGUUCUGUGUAGGAAACGCGCAAGGGGAGAAGAAAAGACACACGCACAAUACCUUUAAGGGUAAACAACCUUUAUCCCAUGUAAAUGGCAAUGCAGAUAUAAUAAGCAAAUGAUAUAAUAAGCAGAUUGAUAUAAUUAGCAAAUCGCAAUAGGAAGAGGAGAAGGGAAAAGAUAUUUACAUUCACCAGACUAUGGAGGAUUCACCACCAGACUGGGAAGCAAUAGCCUGGGCUCCAAAGUCGGCCACUCGUCCAUGUACAGAUGAUGAGAGGUCUCAUGAAGCUUCGGCGCAGUCUGGGACCCUAACUCUUUUUGUAACAAGUUGUUGGCAUGAGGCCCCGUCACGAGGGUUCUUCAUGACUGGGCUCAAGGAACACAAAAAGGUCAACCUGUUUUUGUGAUUGUCUAUUGUUUUUCAAUAACUAAUGUAUCGGAAUAGAUUGAAGUAGAGAUUUCUCCGAAACAGUGCUGGAUGAAUGCCUCAAGGGGCUCACACAACCUAUUCUGGGACUUGGUGACCAUUGUUUGUGUCCAUGUUCAAUUGAAUUCAAAUUUAAUAUUUAACUUUUCCUCCACAGCAACAUAGUGAGUUCUCACCUCCACAAAAAGUAAAAAAAAUAUUAGGCCAGGCACGGUGGUUCAUGCCUGUAAUCCCAAUAAUUUUGGAGGCUGAGGCAGGAGGAUCACUUGAGCCCAGGGGUUCAAGACCAGCCUGGGCAACAUAGUGAGACCACGUCUCAAAAGAAAGAAAGAAAAGAAGGAAAGAAGGAAAGAAGGAAAGAAAGAAAGAAAGAAAGAAAGAAAGAAAGAAAGAAAGAAAGAAGGAAGGAAGGAAGGAAGGAAGGAAGGAAGGAAGGAAGGAAGGAAAGAAAGAAAGAAAGAAAGAAAGAAACAAACAAACAAACAACCAGGCAUCGUGGUGCGCGUCUGUAGUCCUAGCUACUUGAGAGGCUAAGGUGGGAAGAUCACUUGAACCCAGGAAUUCAAACCUGCAGUAAGCUAUGAUUGUGCCACUGCACUUCAGAUUGGGUGACAGAGUGAGACCCUGUCUCAAAUAAACAAACAUAAACUUUCCACGUGAUCAUGGUUCCUUGCUUAUAGCCUCCUGUCACUGUUAUCCAUGGGUAAAUUCCCAGACCUAGUGCUUCCUGGUCGGCCUAAUUUUAGAGCCAUCUAAGAUCAACAAUAAGGUAAUAUUAGUGUAAUAAAAUGCUGGGUCUGGAAUAUUUUAAUACCUACUACUAUGGUAAAAAUAUUUGGGAUAAAAAUGACAGGCUGGACACAAAAGUUUCCUUUCCUCACUAUCUGACAAAAUCUUCAAAAGACAGUGAGAAAGAGGCAAAAAUUUCACUUGUAGCCACAAAGCAAGGGAAGAAGUACAACGUUGUGUCAUAAGCCUUAAAAAGCAUUGCUCGGCCGGGCGCAGUGGCUCACGCCUGUAAUCCCAGCACUUUGGGAGGCC